AGACCUACGGGGCGCAGCAGUGAGGAAUAUUGGUCAAUGGGCGCGAGCCUGAACCAGCCAAGUCGCGUGAAGGAUGACGGCCCUACGGGUUGUAAACUUCUUUUGUCAGGGAGCAAUUGGGUCCACGCGUGGGCUUAGCGAGAGUACCUGAAGAAAAGGCAUAGGCUAACUCCGUGCCAGCAGCCGCGGUAAUACGGAGGAUGCGAGCGUUAUCCGGAUUUAUUGGGUUUAAAGGGUGCGUAGGCGGAAGAUCAAGUCAGCGGAAAAAAUUCGGGG
rnacentral:rRNA from 1 species